rnacentral:rRNA from 1 species
UACGUAGGGCGCAAGCGUUGUCCGGAAUUAUUGGGCGUAAAGAGCUCGUAGGUGGUGUGUCGCGUCUGCCGUGAAAGCCCGGGGCUUAACUCCGGGUCUGCGGUGGAUACGGGCAGACUAGAGGCAGGUAGGGGAGAACGGAAUUCCUGGUGUAGCGGUGAAAUGCGCAGAUAUCAGGAGGAACACCGGUGGCGAAGGCGGGUCUCUGGGCCGAUACUGACGCUGAGGAGCGAAAGCGUGGGGAGCGAACAGG